CAGUAGCCGCGGGAAUACAGAGGGUGCGAGCGUUAAUCGGAAUUACUGGGCGUAAAGCGCGCGUAGACGGUUUUGUAAGUCAGAUGUGAAAUCCCUGGGCUCAACCUGGGAACUGCAUUUGAUACUGCAUGGCUAGAGUAUCGAAGAGGGAAGUGGAAUUUCCGGUGUAGCGGUGAAAUGCGUAGAUAUCGGAAGGAGCACCAGUGGCGAAAGCGACUUCCUGGUCGAAUACUGACGUUCAUGUGCGAAAGCGUGGGGAGCAAACAGGAUUAGAUACCCGCGUAGUCCCUGUCUCUUAUAC
rnacentral:rRNA from 1 species